ACAUGCAAGUCGAGGGGCAGCACGAGGUAGCAAUACUUUGGUGGCGACCGGCGCACGGGUGCGUAACGCGUAUGCAACCUACCUUUAACAGGGGCAUAACACUGAGAAAUUGGUACUAAUUCCCCAUAACAUUCGAGAAGGCAUCUUCUUGGGUUAAAAACUCCGGUGGUUAAAGAUGGGCAUGCGUUGUAUUAGCUAGUUGGUGAGGUAACGGCCCACCUAGUCUUCGAUGGAUAGGGGUUCUGAGAGGAAGGUCCCCACAUUGGAACUGAGACACGGUCCAAACUCC
rnacentral:rRNA from 1 species